AUGGCCGAAGCCCUGGUACUUCGGUUCGGUCUUAAUUUGGCGCAAAGCUACGGCUGCUCAAGACUGGUGAUAAAAUCGGAUAAUAUCGAUGUGAUACAGGCAAUGCAAGAGGGUGGUCUAUUUGCGGGACCGGCCGCUGCUAUUAUAGAUGAUUGCUACCACAUGUCCCGUGAUCUUGUCAUAGCUUAGUUUGAGCAUUGCCAUCGUGAAGCAAAAUCUGUUGCCCACGAGUUAGCAAGAUUAGCUAGGUUCUCUCCCCCUAGCACCUGGUUCGAUGAGGCCCCUAGUGCCUUACUUCCCCUUAUUGUAAAAGACUCUUUGUUGGUUUCUUCUGAAUAA
rnacentral:rRNA from 1 species